CUGACGAUUCGUCAGAAAGAGAAUCAUCUGCUUCCAGACCGCAGUUGAUGGCAGCGGGCAAUCAAUUGAAACUGCAGCAGCGAAACCACAGAUAAGGGGGACUCCCGUAGUCUCCCCUUCUACCGUUUCUCAGUUAUUCACAAGCUGUUUCUAGUGUUUCCACAAGGAAAACUCCUUGUCUUUUUCAAGGCCCAACUUCAAACCUCCAGCUGGUGUUCAAGUUUACUACUUAAGUAUCAAGUUAAAAAUAAUGGCUGAUGCCCAGAAUGUUAAAGAUGGACAACACUGCAACUACUGUGCCCACCCCAAUUGUAGAGCUGAGGAAACUGAGGCCCAGAAACUCUGCCUAAGCAUAUACAGUCAAGGACAGUGCAGCCUGGGACCUGAUACCCAACCAGCUCUGGCUUUCUCCCCAUCAUACAGAGACUGAGAUGGACUCUACUUUGGAUCCUAAGGAAGAAAAUCUUUCAUGUCAGCCACAGCUCUCAGCUGACCUCCAACUGUACCAGCCACUGCAGCAGUGAGGCCCUCCUUCCUCAUGACCAGUGUCUCCCCUGGUCUCCCCCUAUGACACUCAUGGGCUUUCAGGCACAAAGGAUUCUCCCAUCCAAGUUAGUGUAGUGACCUUGAUUAUCUGUCAAAACCCCCAACCAAAGGUAUAACCCUGUGGUCCCCCAACCCUGCACUACCCCUACACAUACUCCAUGGAUGGGUCUCUGCCGCUGUGAUACCCCCCCAAAAUCUCUCCCUUUAUCCUUCCCCUUUCAGGAGUCAUGCCCCCAUGAACCCUAAAGCUUUGCCCCCUCCACAGGAUGGCAGAAGGUCCACAUUCCAACUCCACCUUCCCAUGCCCAACCUUCUUCAUACUGACUGGCAUUCCAGGGCUAGGGCCUGCCCAGCCUUGGCUGACACUGGUCUUCGGGCCCAUGUAUCUGUUGGCCCUGCUGGGCAAUGGAGCACUGCUGACAUUGGUGCAGAUAGAUUCCACACUGCAGCAGCCCAUGUUUCUACUCCUGGCCGCACUGGCAGCCACAGACCUGGGCUUAGCUACAUCUAUAGCCCCAGGGUUGCUUGCUGUGCUGUGGCUUGGGCCCCGGCCUGUGCCAUACAGUGCCUGCCUGGUCCAGAUGUUUUUUGUUCAUGCACUGACUGCUGUAGAAUCUGGCGUACUGCUGGCCAUGGCCUGUGAUCGUGCCGUGGCAGUAGGGCGUCCACUGCACUACCCUCUCCUAGUCACCAAAGCCCGUGUAGGCUAUGCAGUCCUGGCACUGGCACUGAAAGCUGUGGCUAUUGUUGUGCCUUUCCCUCUGCUGGUGGCACGAUUUGAGCACUUCCAAGCCAAGACCAUAGACCAUGCCUACUGUGCACACAUGGCGGUGGUAGAACUGGUGGUGGGCAACACACGGGCCAACAAUUUGUAUGGGCUGGCACUUUCACUGGCUGUGUCUGGUAUAGAUAUCCUGGGCAUCACUGGCUCUUAUGGGCUCAUUGCUCAUGCUGUGCUGCGGCUGCCUACCCAGGAGGCCCGUGCUAAGGCCUUUGGCACAUGUAGUUCCCACAUAUGUGUCAUUCUGGCCUUCUAUGUACCUGGUCUCUUCUCCUACCUCACACAUCGCUUUGGUCGUCACACUGUCCCAAAGCCCAUACACAUCCUUCUCUCUAAUAUCUAUUUGCUGCUGCCACCUGCCCUCAACCCACUCAUCUAUGGGGUCCGCACCAAGCAAAUCAGGGACCGACUCCUGGAAAUCUUCACAUUCAGAAAAAGCCAGUUCUAAUGGGAAAAAAAAAAAAAAAAAAAAAAAAAAAAAAACAAUGGAGCCUGGUGGUGGAGGUGAAGGAAUAUUCAGAAGAGUCCAGGGCCUGGAGCCAAGAGUGUUGAAUUCCCAAAUAAAAUCUACAUCAGCACCCCCAUUUGGACUGGCCAACAUCACUAGAAGCACAGGAUGUUGGUAUAGGAAUAUUUCACACUGCUGUGGCUACCAGAGAAUAGAGAUAUUACACAUGGUGUAACAGGGGAUUGACCUUCAGCUAAGAUUACAAUGGAAGGGACAUUGUGCAAAAGAUCUUUCACACCAGCAUGGAGCCCAGAAUGAAUAUAAUUUCAGACAAAAAGCAGGAAUUCACUUUUAGAAGGUCAUGGAAAGCUGCAGGCUGCACAGGCAGACCCAAGCUCUUUGGGAAAACUAUCAUAACUGCAGGUAUUGGAGUCAGCCAUGAGGACCUGAAGCCAAGUGCAAUGCUAACCACUCAGCAAAACAGCUGGACCAAGUACCACGGGAAAGCACACAGAACAGGCGGCUGCAAAUCUGAAAAGGCAGGUGACAUCUUCUCAGGGCCACAUGGGGUCUCACCAGGUCCUCACUAACAAGGAGCUAAAGAGAAAGCCCAGAAGCUCUGCGUGAUUUUCAGAGGUGUUGUCACAUUGAGAAGAUUGACAGUUUUCCUUUGUGGCCUCAGUCAUUCCCAAGACUAAUCUUUUUCAUGAAGUUCUGAGUUAAAAAAAUUCCUCAGGCAAUGAUUUUGUGGAUAAUUAUGACAAAAUUCUAAUCCUAAUUGGAACUGAGUCAUUAAGAUGUCCAUAUCCUUCUCUUAGGGAUUCCUCUUUGAUAAAUCUAUCCUGACAAAAUAAUUAGAGAUGUGAACAAAGAUGUAUGCAGUAAGAUAUUUAUUACAACAUUAUUAUAAAGAAAUGUACGUGUGACAGUCUUGUGUCACACAUACACACGCACACACUUUUUGCCUCU